AUACGGAGGAUGCGAGCGUUAUCCGGAUUUAUUGGGUUUAAAGGGUGCGUAGGCUGUGCGUUAAGUCAGGGGUGAAAUGCCGUCGCUCAACGACGGAGCUGCCCUUGAUACUGGCGUGCUGGAGUACGGAUGCCGUUGGAGGAAUGAGUGGUGUAGCGGUGAAAUGCUUAGAUAUCACUCAGAACACCGAUUGCGAAGGCAUCUGACGAAUCCGUCACUGACGCUGAGGCACGAAAGCGUGGGGAUAGAACAGGAUUAGAUACCCUGGUAUUCCACGCCGUAAACGAUGAUGACUAACCGUCGGAGAUAGACAGCCGGUGGCCAAGCGAAAGCGAUAAGUCAUCCACCUGGGGAGUACGUCGGCAACGAGGAAACUCAAAUGAAUUGGCGGGG
rnacentral:rRNA from 1 species